CAUUUAUUUAAUAAAAUUGAGCUUGUUAGAGAAGAUCAUGGGCGAUGGAAACUAGAUAAUUAAUCCAUUAUACACAAGCCUGCGAAAUUAAAAGAAACCUAAAAAAACAAUUAGUAAUACUUAAAAUAGUAAUUUCCUACGUAAUUUUGGUGCUGAAUCCGAAUUCAUCAGUAAAAAAUGUUUAUCACCAUCAGAUUUUAUAGAUAAAUGUGGUAUUAAGUUAUAUAUAACAAAUAAGUUCGUUCUAUUUUUGCUUCAGUGCAGAUUCAUUCCGAUUUAUUCUUUCGUUUCUCGGCGCUAUUGCACAACUCGAAUGUGCAUUUGUGUUACACAACUUGUAUGUGAAUUUUGGUGUAGCUAACUUCAGUAUUGUUGCAUGCUGCGUAGCUGUGAAAAUGAAAAUAAAUAACGUGCAAUAUUGUCAUA